ensembl:snoRNA SNORD72 small nucleolar RNA, C/D box 72
UGCUUACCAAUGAUGCUGAAAAAUAAAUGUCUGAACAAAUGAUUUCUAUAUGAUAUCAACAUUUUCUCUGAGGUAAGCU